rnacentral:rRNA from 1 species
AAUCAACGCUGGCGGCGUGCCUCAGACAUGCAAGUCGAACGAGAAAGUUUCCUUCGGGAGACGAGUACAGUGGCGUCCGGGUGAGUAACACGUGGGUAAUUUACCUUUGGGUGGGAAUAGCAGCCGGAAACGGCUAUUAAUACCGCAUAAUGCAGCGGCUCGACAUCGAGACAGUUGUUAAAGCGGGAUCUGACAAGGACCUCGCGCCUAAAGAGAAGCCUGCGU